rnacentral:rRNA from 1 species
CAGUCGCCGCGGUAAUACAGAGGAUGCAAGCGUUAUCCGGAAUGAUUGGGCGUAAAGCGUCUGUAGGUGGCUUUUCAAGUCCGCCGUCAAAUCCCAGGGCUCAACCCUGGACAGGCGGUGGAAACUACCAAGCUGGAGUAUGGUAGGGGCAGAGGGAAUUUCCGGUGGAGCGGUGAAAUGCGUUGAGAUCGGAAAAAACACCAACGACGAAAGCACUCUGCUGGGCCGACACUGACACUGAGAGACGAAAGCUAGGGGAGCAAAUGGGAUUAGAUACCCCUGUAGUCCCUGUCUCUUAUAC